rnacentral:lncRNA from 1 species
GUGCGUAAUGGGAAAGACAGCCAGAGAGCAGUUCAGGAACAUGAGCCACAACCAUCCCAAGAUCCUCAAUUCAUUCAAGGACAACAGCAAAACAACAGCAAAGAUAUAAGAGCUUGGAGAGACAGCUACCCCAGACCUACCCAAGCAGAAACAAGAAAGGUGGACCGGAAACCUGCUCUCUCCUGUUCUUACCAUUCCAGCCAACAACUCUUUGCCCAUGGCCUACCAUAUUUUUCUUCCAAGUGUGUCAUUUCAAGUUACAGGUCUGAGGCUAAUGGUUUUCUUUACUUAAAAAAGCUUUGGGACUUCAGCACACACUCUGGGUUCUGUCCCAAGCAUAUUCCCUCUAUUCAUAUUAGUGAUCACAGCCCUGGGGUAGGUACUACAGCAACUCCUGUUUGUACAGUGAAGACUCAGAGGCCCAGAGAGGUUAGAGGAACUUGUUCAAGGUUACAGUCAGGACUCAGACCCAGGUAGUCGGUUCUUGUGUCUGUGAAGGAUGCCACUGUCUCUCCCAGGCUCAGGCUGAUCUAUAUAAGCACCAUGUUCCAGCAAUGUUCAGAUAAAGACUUUUCUCUUUAUGUGUGUUUUAAUUGUAACAACCCAGAUAGAUUAAAUUCUCUUUUGAUUGUUUCUGAGAAGGCAGAAACCUUUUAGGGAGAGCUGAAGGCUGGAGACAACAGGAUCUUUAUGAGGAGGCUCUAGAACCACAAGAGCAUCCCGGGGAGGAGGCAGACACUGCAGAGAGUGUGGACAGCUAAGGGAGUCAACUAAGGGAGAUGUAUUGUUAGAAGGCCUCCCCCUCCCCUGGCAAUGUGAAGACAAUACAUUGUUCAUUGUCAGAAGGAUCAUAGAAACCUGAAUCUCCAGCUGUUUUUACUGUGAAACUGGAAUUUCAGAAGCUCUAGGCAAAGACUUGAGGAUGGGGCCCAUUGGCACAGGCCUGUAAUUCAGCCAGGGAGGCUGAGGCAGGAGGAUCCUAAGGAUGAGGUCAGCCAGGGCACCUUAGCAAGACCCUGUCUCAAAAUAAGAAAUAAAAAGAAAAGAUUAAAAAAGACUUAAGGCCUCAAUAGGUUGUUACCUAGAACUCAGAUUUCUUGGAGAAAUGCUGCCCCCCAAAGGGCUACACAGGUAUUGUUUUUGUGAGUUACGCCUUACAUAUGGCAACUGCUUUAUGUAGAG